rnacentral:rRNA from 1 species
GUAGUCCACGCUGUAAACGAUGGGUACUAGGCUUGGCGGGUCUUGACCCCUGCUGAGCCGGCGCUAACGCAAUAAGUACCCCGCCUGGGAAGUACGGUCGCAAGACUAAAACUCAAAGGAAUUGACGGGGGCCCGCACAAGCGGUGGAUCAUGUGGUUUAAUUCGAAGCAACGCGAAAAACCUUACCUGGGUUUGACAUCCUUUGACAUCCGUAGAGAUACGGCUUUCGUAGCAAUACGACAAAGUGACAGGUGCUGCAUGGCUGUCGUCAGCUCGUGUGGUGACAUGUUGGGUUAAGUCCCGCAACGAGCGCAACCCUUAUCUUUAGUUGCCAGCAUUCAGUUGGGCUCUCUAGAGAGACUGCCGUGGUUAACACGGA